AAAACAUUGUUGAAAACUGAAGAAAAAUGGUUUCACACAAAUGCUUCUUUUUUACAUUUCUGUGUAUUGCUCUUCUUAUAAUUUCAGGUCAUGCAACAAGAGAUAUAUAUUCUACAAAAUACGAGAAUUCGUUGCUGAUGGAGAAUAUUCCAGACAAUCCAUGUGGAGAAAUAGAAAACUGCAACAAAAAAUGCAUCGACCAGAAAUUUCCUAAAGGAGGAUUAUGCUUAAAUCCAACAUCGAAUGAUGAUAUAACUGGAUUUAUUUGCCUUUGUAAAAUUUAAAAGCUAUUAUAGAAUAUUAUCCUGUAAAAGAUAUGUAAUCCAAGCAAAAUAAUAAUUAUAAGACCUAAAUUAUAAA